rnacentral:rRNA from 1 species
GAUGAACGCUGGCGGCGUGCCUAAUACAUGCAAGUCGAGCGAACAGAUGAGGGGCUUGCUCCUCUGACGUUAGCGGCGGACGGGUGAGUAACACGUGGAUAACCUACCUAUAAGACUGGGAUAACUUCGGGAAACCGGAGCUAAUACCGGAUAAUAUAUUGAACCGCAUGGUUCAAUAGUGAAAGACGGUUUUGCUGUCACUUAUAGAUGGAUCCGCGCCGCAUUAGCUAGUUGGUAAGGUAACGGCUUACCAAGGCAACGAUGCGUAGCCGACCUGAGAGGGUGAUCGGCCACACUGGAACUGAGACACGGUCCAGACUCCUACGGGAGGCAGCAGUAGGGAAUCUUCCGCAAUGGGCGAAAGCCUGACGGAGCAACGCCGCGUGAGUGAUGAAGGUCUUCGGAUCGUAAAACUCUGCUAUUAGGGAAGAACAAAUGUGUAAGUAACUAUGCACGUCUUGACGGUACCUAAUCAGAAAGCCACGGCUAACUACGUG